GUCAUUGAGGAUGGGCACCUCCUUGAUAACCUUCUCAGCCUCCUCCAGCCGGCUAGUCAGCCUUUCGAUCUCCUCCUGUACACCAAUCACCCAAGGCUGACGGUAGUGGAGUCCAUCACCCUUGUUUAUGCAGGUGAAGAACCGUUUCCCAGGAAGAGUGUCGUGCUCCUCCUUCCUCUGAACCUCAGCAAUCAUUCUCCCACCGCAGUAACACCUUUUUGGAAUACCAUACUCUGAAUCCGCCACAUAGCCUAAUGAGUUGUUGUACUCAAUGUUCCUCUUUGCGUCUCUUCUCUCUGCUGCGGGAUCCAUCUGUAGCAGAAACACAAACAGAACUCAUUAGCAAACUCAUUAAAGUUAACAAUCAAAUGAAAACGAAUCAAUAAACCACU